GAUGAACGCUGGCGGCGUGCCUAAUACAUGCAAGUCGAGCGAACAGACGAGGAGCUUGCUCCUCUGACGUUAGCGGCGGACGGGUGAGUAACACGUGGAUAACCUACCUAUAAGACUGGGAUAACUUCGGGAAACCGGAGCUAAUACCGGAUAAUAUAUUGAACCGCAUGGUUCAAUAGUGAAAGACGGUUUUGCUGUCACUUAUAGAUGGAUCCGCGCCGCAUUAGCUAGUUGGUAAGGUAACGGCUUACCAAGGCAACGAUGCGUAGCCGACCUGAGAGGGUGAUCGCACACACUGGAACUGAGACACGGUCCAGACUCCUACGGGAGGCAGCAGUAGGGAAUCUUCCGCAAUGGGCGAUAGCCUGACGGAGCAACGCCGCGUGAGUGAUGAAGGUCUUCGGAUCGUAAAACUCUGUUAUUAGGGAAGAACAAAUGUGUAAGUAACUAUGCACGUCUUGACGGUACCUAAUCAGAAAGCCACGGCUAACUACGUG
rnacentral:rRNA from 1 species